rnacentral:rRNA from 1 species
UUACACAAAUAUGAAGGCGGGCUGGAACCUCUCGGGGUUACAGCCUUGCUGAAUUAUUCACCCUUGUCUUUUGCGUACUUCUUGUUUCCUUGGUGGGUUCGCCCACCACUAGGACAAACAUAAACCUUUUGUAAUUGCAAUCAGCGUCAGUAACAAAUUAAUAAUUACAACUUUCAACAACGGAUCUCUUGGUUCUGGCAUCGAUGAAGAACGCAGCGAAAUGCGAUAAGUAGUGUGAAUUGCAGAAUUCAGUGAAUCAUCGAAUCUUUGAACGCACAUUGCGCCCUUUGGUAUUCCAAAGGGCAUGCCUGUUCGAGCGUCAUUUGUACCCUCAAGCUUUGCUUGGUGUUGGGCGUCUUGUCUCUAGCUUUGCUGGAGACUCGCCUUAAAGUAAUUGGCAGCCGGCCUACUGGUUUCGGAGCGCAGCACAAGUCGCACUCUCUAUCAGCAAAGGUCUAGCAUCCAUUAAGCCUUUUUUUCAACUUUUGACCUCGGAUCAGGUAGGGAUACCCGCUGAACUUAAGCAUAUCAAUAAGCGGAGGAAAAGAAACCAACAGGGAUUGCCCUAGUAACGGCGAGUGAAGCGGCAACAGCUCAAAUUUGAAAUCUGGCUCUUUUAGAGUCCGAGUUGUAAUUUGCAGAGGGCGCUUUGGCUUUGGCAGCGGUCCAAGUUCCUUGGAACAGGACGUCACAGAGGGUGAGAUCCCGUACGUGGUCGCUGGCUAUUGCCGUGUAA